rnacentral:rRNA from 1 species
ACUCAAAGGAAUUGACGGGGGCUCACACAAGCGGUGGAGCAUGUUGCUUAAUUCGAGGCAACGCGAAGAACCUUACCUGGGUUUGACAUGCUUGGAUUAACUCCAUGAAAGUGGAGCCACGCCCGCAAGGGUGGAACAAGCACAGGUGCUGCAUGGCUGUCGUCAGCUCGUGCUGUGAAGUGUCGGGUUAAGUCCUCUAACGAGCGCAACCCCUGUCGUUAGUUGCUCACGCGUAAUGGCGAGUACUCUAGCGAGACUGCCGGCGUCAAGCCGGAGGAAGGCGGGGAUGACGUCAAGUCCUCAUGGCCCUUACAUCCAGGGUUGCAAACGUGCUACAAUGGCGCGCACAAAGCGACGCGAGGCCGCGAGGCGGAGCAAAUCGCAAAAAACGCGCCCCAGUUCGGAUUGCAGGCUGCAACUCGCCUGCAUGAAGUCGGAAUCGCUAGUAAUCGGAGAUCAGCUACGCUCCGGUGAAUAAGUUCCUGAGCCUUGUACACACCGCCCGU